GGAACUGAGUGAGAGGCUGGAUGACUAAGUCCAGACCCUACAGGCCGCUUGGCAGGAACCGCCCAGCCCUCGUGGCCGGUACAGGGCAGGUCUCACCAGACCCAACUGCCACGGGCCCUGAGAUGAGAGGGAGCCCAGGGCAGGUCUCUCUGGGCCUGGUCAUCAGGCAGUCAGAGCAACCCAGUCCAGGACAGGUCCAGUUAGGCCUGGGUGCCACUAUAACACAAGGUUAGCUGGGGCCGAGGCAGCACAAACUGUGGGCAGGCAGAGCCUCAUGCUUUGUGCCAGCUGCUGGGCGCUGUCCAAACAGAGCUGCGCACAGGACAUCGGGCUGGAGCUGCGACUGGGGCCUGUGUGCCACGUGCCUGUGACAGACAGGGGGAGCCACAAGAACAACAGCUGGAACUUUGUCAAGCAGCCUUGGAGGUCGGUUGGGCUUCGCCAAUGGAAGAGUAGUUGAGUACGUCACUCCAGGAAUAUACAUGAAGACACUACGUGCAGACAAUUUUCCAGGCACUGGCCAUGAUCCAAUAACCAGAGCAGAUGCAACCACUGUCCUCUCAGCUGCAGAGCUAGCUCCAGCCCAAGCUGAAACCCCACCUGCAGAGCCUCUGCCAGCUCCACCUGCAGCUCCCUCCCCAGCUCUGGAACCACAGCCAGAGCCAGCAUCAGAAAGCCCUUCUCCACCAGCUGCACAGCUGGGGCUCCUGCUGGCUCCUCAGCAGGUGUCAGCUCCUGAGCUCCCCCUCGGACCAGAUCCUGCCCCACCCCUGCCAUUCCCCUCAUUACUGUUGGUCAUGUUUUGGCAUUUAUUUUUGUUUUUUUGUUUUUGUCUUUGUGGGGUUUUCUGGCAUACAUUUUUGUUCUUAUUUUCCCAAUGUAUGCAAUUAUAGUUUUUUUAAAACAAAAGUUAAGAUUUUAGCCUUGUUUAAAACAAUCGGCUGGGUGGCAUGUAGUGCCUUCUCAGUAUUGAGCACCCAUCACUGCUGCACCCGUGAGUGGCUCCUCCCCUCUCCCCUGUGGUUAGUCCCUGGCUACUACUCAUCUUAUGUCCCUGUCAUUUACCUAUUCUACUCUUGUUACAGUGGUGCCAUCAGAUUUCUCCUUGGCCACAUAAUCCUGGAAGGGACUGAUGACUCUUGCUUUAUGUAGAAGGGAAAAUCCUGGAUAGAUCCUAAACAUUUUUCAUCCACCUAUUCAGUAAAUUAUGCAGUUAUUUUUGUCAGACAAGAAAUAUUUUUUAACUACUGCAACAUGAAUAAAGAAUAAAAGAAAGACAUAGUCACAGUCAUUCCACCGGGAACCGUGCACACCCCUGAGGUGCUCCCCUCUCCUGUGCGCAUCUUUGGGCUCAGGCUGUGUGUCUUCGCUGCUCGUGGGGUGUGUGUCAGGCCACAUCUCUUGUCAUCUCAUGGACACACUGGGGACAUGGCCCUGGCAGGCUCCAUCCCUU
rnacentral:lncRNA from 1 species